rnacentral:rRNA from 1 species
UACGUAGGGUCCGAGCGUUGUCCGGAAUUACUGGGCGUAAAGAGCUCGUAGGUGGUUUGUCGCGUUGUUCGUGAAAACUCACAGCUCAACUGUGGGCGUGCGGGCGAUACGGGCAGACUAGAGUACUGCAGGGGAGACUGGAAUUCCUGGUGUAGCGGUGGAAUGCGCAGAUAUCAGGAGGAACACCGGUGGCGAAGGCGGGUCUCUGGGCAGUUACUGACGCUGAGGAGCGAAAGCGUGGGGAGCGAACAGG